UUAAGCGACUAAGCGUACACGGUGGAUGCCCUGGCAGUCAGAGGCGAUGAAGGACGUGCUAAUCUGCGAUAAGCGUCGGUAAGGUGAUAUGAACCGUUAUAACCGGCGAUUUCCGAAUGGGGAAACCCAGUGUGAUUCGUCACACUAUCAUUAACUGAAUCCAUAGGUUAAUGAGGCGAACCGGGGGAACUGAAACAUCUAAGUACCCCGAGGAAAAGAAAUCAACCGAGAUUCCCCCAGUAGCGGCGAGCGAACGGGGAGGAGCCCAGAGCCUGAAUCAGUGUGUGUGUUAGUGGAAGCGUCUGGAAAGGCGCGCGAUACAGGGUGACAGCCCCGUACACAAAAAUGCACAUGCUGUGAGCUCGAUGAGUAGGGCGGGACACGUGGUAUCCUGUCUGAAUAUGGGGGGACCAUCCUCCAAGGCUAAAUACUCCUGACUGACCGAUAGUGAACCAGUACCGUGAGGGAAAGGCGAAAAGAACCCCGGCGAGGGGAGUGAAAAAGAACCUGAAACCGUGUACGUACAAGCAGUGGGAGCCUCUUUAUGGGGUGACUGCGUACCUUUUGUAUAAUGGGUCAGCGACUUAUAUUCUGUAGCAAGGUUAACCGAAUAGGGGAGCCGAAGGGAAACCGAGUCUUAACUGGGCGUUAAGUUGCAGGGUAUAGACCCGAAACCCGGUGAUCUAGCCAUGGGCAGGUUGAAGGUUGGGUAACACUAACUGGAGGACCGAACCGACUAAUGUUGAAAAAUUAGCGGAUGACUUGUGGCUGGGGGUGAAAGGCCAAUCAAACCGGGAGAUAGCUGGUUCUCCCCGAAAGCUAUUUAGGUAGCGCCUCGUGAACUCAUCUCCGGGGGUAGAGCACUGUUUCGGCAAGGGGGUCAUCCCGACUUACCAACCCGAUGCAAACUGCGAAUACCGGAGAAUGUUAUCACGGGAGACACACGGCGGGUGCUAACGUCCGUCGUGAAGAGGGAAACAACCCAGACCGCCAGCUAAGGUCCCAAAGUCAUGGUUAAGUGGGAAACGAUGUGGGAAGGCCCAGACAGCCAGGAUGUUGGCUUAGAAGCAGCCAUCAUUUAAAGAAAGCGUAAUAGCUCACUGGUCGAGUCGGCCUGCGCGGAAGAUGUAACGGGGCUAAACCAUGCACCGAAGCUGCGGCAGCGACGCUUAUGCGUUGUUGGGUAGGGGAGCGUUCUGUAAGCCUGUGAAGGUGUGCUGUGAGGCAUGCUGGAGGUAUCAGAAGUGCGAAUGCUGACAUAAGUAACGAUAAAGCGGGUGAAAAGCCCGCUCGCCGGAAGACCAAGGGUUCCUGUCCAACGUUAAUCGGGGCAGGGUGAGUCGACCCCUAAGGCGAGGCCGAAAGGCGUAGUCGAUGGGAAACAGGUUAAUAUUCCUGUACUUGGUGUUACUGCGAAGGGGGGACGGAGAAGGCUAUGUUGGCCGGGCGACGGUUGUCCCGGUUUAAGCGUGUAGGCUGGUUUUCCAGGCAAAUCCGGAAAAUCAAGGCUGAGGCGUGAUGACGAGGCACUACGGUGCUGAAGCAACAAAUGCCCUGCUUCCAGGAAAAGCCUCUAAGCAUCAGGUAACAUCAAAUCGUACCCCAAACCGACACAGGUGGUCAGGUAGAGAAUACCAAGGCGCUUGAGAGAACUCGGGUGAAGGAACUAGGCAAAAUGGUGCCGUAACUUCGGGAGAAGGCACGCUGAUAUGUAGGUGAAGUCCCUCGCGGAUGGAGCUGAAAUCAGUCGAAGAUACCAGCUGGCUGCAACUGUUUAUUAAAAACACAGCACUGUGCAAACACGAAAGUGGACGUAUACGGUGUGACGCCUGCCCGGUGCCGGAAGGUUAAUUGAUGGGGUCAGCGCAAGCGAAGCUCUUGAUCGAAGCCCCGGUAAACGGCGGCCGUAACUAUAACGGUCCUAAGGUAGCGAAAUUCCUUGUCGGGUAAGUUCCGACCUGCACGAAUGGCGUAAUGAUGGCCAGGCUGUCUCCACCCGAGACUCAGUGAAAUUGAACUCGCUGUGAAGAUGCAGUGUACCCGCGGCAAGACGGAAAGACCCCGUGAACCUUUACUAUAGCUUGACACUGAACAUUGAGCCUUGAUGUGUAGGAUAGGUGGGAGGCUUAGAAGUGUGGACGCCAGUCUGCAUGGAGCCGACCUUGAAAUACCACCCUUUAAUGUUUGAUGUUCUAACGUUGACCCGUAAUCCGGGUUGCGGACAGUGUCUGGUGGGUAGUUUGACUGGGGCGGUCUCCUCCUAAAGAGUAACGGAGGAGCACGAAGGUUGGCUAAUCCUGGUCGGACAUCAGGAGGUUAGUGCAAUGGCAUAAGCCAGCUUGACUGCGAGCGUGACGGCGCGAGCAGGUGCGAAAGCAGGUCAUAGUGAUCCGGUGGUUCUGAAUGGAAGGGCCAUCGCUCAACGGAUAAAAGGUACUCCGGGGAUAACAGGCUGAUACCGCCCAAGAGUUCAUAUCGACGGCGGUGUUUGGCACCUCGAUGUCGGCUCAUCACAUCCUGGGGCUGAAGUAGGUCCCAAGGGUAUGGCUGUUCGCCAUUUAAAGUGGUACGCGAGCUGGGUUUAGAACGUCGUGAGACAGUUCGGUCCCUAUCUGCCGUGGGCGCUGGAGAACUGAGGGGGGCUGCUCCUAGUACGAGAGGACCGGAGUGGACGCAUCACUGGUGUUCGGGUUGUCAUGCCAAUGGCACUGCCCGGUAGCUAAAUGCGGAAGAGAUAAGUGCUGAAAGCAUCUAAGCACGAAACUUGCCCCGAGAUGAGUUCUCCCUGACUCCUUGAGAGUCCUGAAGGAACGUUGAAGACGACGACGUUGAUAGGCCGGGUGUGUAAGCGCAGCGAUGCGUUGAGCUAACCGGUACUAAUGAACCGUGAGGCUUAACCUU
rnacentral:rRNA from 1 species